UUCUUCUUCUUCUUCUCUGUUCUUCAUCUUCUUUCUCUGAAACUUGAUCUUUGGAUCGUGCAUGUUAAAUUAGGAAGCUAUUCGUGAGUUGGUUGACUCAAGGAAGGUGUUAAUUGGAGUUUAUAUUGUUCUGAGAAGGUUUGUGUUGAUUGAGAAGAGGUAGGGAAGUCGGAAUCGAGGUUAGGGAUCUCAAGUAUUGAUUGAAGAUUCGUUUAGUGCUAGACAAAAAGAAAAGAAAGGUUGGGUCGAAGUUGAAUUGAAUCUAUGAAGUCGAUUCAUUGUUGAAUUGGGAGAUUAGGGUAUUCCUGAGUGGUGAUGGGGGAUUCGAAUUGUGUUGAUUACGGAUCUGAACAAUCAAGGAGUAAGAGAUGAUGAGGAUGGUGAUGCUGUUUCGAAGGUUUAAUUCGAUUUCUGAAGAGAAAGACUAUAUUAACGACGAUCGAUCAAAGGAUGAACCCGUGGAUCGUGGAUCUCGAGAUAGGCAUGGCCUGUAAUCAAAUCAGUUUCAGUAAUCAGAAGAAACGGUGCACGGGAAUAUAUCGGUUAUCGCAGCUUAAAGCUUUUCGCGUUGUUAAAGAUAUUACGAAUCUUUUAUAUAUCUUUUUUUUUUUUUUUUGUAAAACAACACAUUAAUAUAGUCAUAUCACAAGAGAGUUCUUCAUUUA